UCGGACGACGGCAGUGGGAUGGCAGGACUGGAGGGAGGGAGAGGUCAGCACGGCUCCUCUUCGGCAUCUCUUGAUUCAUCAUCAGAUGCAGGUUGUAAUAACUGAUCUUCCUUCCUCACAUGACAGGGAGGCUUGUAAAGUAGUUCAGAGACCGGAAAGUGUUGUAUAAAGCCGUAUUGUCAGUGGACACAAGGAGGAAGUUGUCUGUGCUGUUGCCUCAUGAACCACAUCAAAGGAGAUUUAGCGGGAGUGGCACACACACUCACGACCUGACUAACCGCAGCGCUCAGACUAUUUCCUUGCCUGGAAAAUGGAGGCAGCGCCACAACCUCAAAGGGUGGUUACUGCAGUCAAUGAGACAGUGUCUCUAUCCUCCAGGCUGGUCUCAAACUCCUGGGCUCAAGCGAUCCUCCCGCCUCAGCCUCCCGAGUAGCUCCUUUGUCACCCUUAUCACUGUUGUGAUGAAUUGUACAAAUGGCUUAUUGGCAGUUUUAUUUAUUUUCCUUUGAUGGCUCAGCUCAUCAAAGGAAGUGGCCGGCCAAUCGUCAGCGGGCAGGGUAGGGACCAGUCCGUCCUGGCUCCCAUCUGCAGCCCCAGUGCGCAUCCCGACUCUGGAGCUAGCUCCGGGAACGUUUGUCACAUGUCUGAAGAAUGCAUGAAUUAUAUAACCUUCUCUCCACUCAACCCCUCAAAAAGCAAGUGGAUCCAAGUACUUGAAGACUUUUUUUUUUUUAGACGGAGUUUCACUCUUGUUGCCCAGGCUGGAGUGCAAUGGGGUGAUCUCGGCUCACCGCAAUAUCCGCCUCCCGGGUUCAAGCAAUUCUACCUCUGCCUCCGUAGUAGCUGGGGAUUACAGGCAUGCGCCACCGCGCCCGGUUAAUUUUUUGUAUUUUUAGCAGAGAUGGGGUUUCUCCAUGUUUUUGGCUAGGCUGGUCUCGAACUCCCUACCUCGGGUGAUCCGCCCGCUUCAGCCUCCCAAAGUGCUGGAAUUAAGGCGUGAGCCACAGCGCCCGGCCGAACUUGAAGAUUUUAUAAUCUCUUCUUCGUUAGUAAAAUUUUAAUAUCCUUGCCAGUAAAAAUAAUAAUGAUGGUGAAAAACGUUAAGUUCGAACGCAGGUAGGGCACAGCUAAAAUCCAAAGGGCGAAAUAUUUACAACGUCUACCGUCGGGGAAGAGAAACAGCAGCCCCAAUCGGCGGCAAAAAGAAAUCCCUCCGCAGCCUGCAAAGGCGCGUGGGCGGGACUGGAGCCUGAGGCCCAGGGCAGUAAGUGCAGAAGCCAGGACCAGCCUCAGCCGUGAGAAAAGCAGCCCGGGGGAGGCGGGGCGGGGCCUCACUCCGAAGGGAACGGCCACUCGUUUAGAGGCGGGACACAGAGGCCCUCCACAAGUCUCAUUGGUCUAAUUGGAGACGGACAACUCUCGCUGACCAGUCAUAGCCAAGAUGGGGCGCAAGCGUAUUUGGAAACGGAGAAAGCGCCGAACACCGGAACCACGCAUGCGUCUCAGCGUUUUCGCGCCAGCACAGCCUUAGUGGAUGGGGGCAAUUGAAUUCCCACAGUGAGUCCAGCCCACCGAAACUCAGCAGGAUUCCUAAACUUCCACUUUAAAGAGCCUCGGGUUUAGGGAACGUCCUGUGCCCAGAGCCUGCCCCGUGGGAAUCCCAACAUCCAUCGCCUCUUACAUAAUGUUUCGUCCUGGCCGCGCCUCAGCCCUUCCUGAUGCUGGGUUGUUAUGAUGGUGAAUUAUUGACGAAGUCUUGCAGCCUGACGCCAUCUCUGGGCACUGCUCCUUCCUCCUCCCUGGCUUCCUUGGAGGGUACCACGUUGCCCCUACAAGCAUAGGGUCCUAAAGCUGUUUACAAGUCCCCACUCUGCCACUUUCAUAUCUUAACGAGUGUUGGUUGAGGACCUACUGUUAGACUCAGCGGAAUGCGCAAGUUCCUGAUCUUGGGACCUUACAUUCUAUGGGACAACACAAACGUAAACAAAAAAUAAUUGUAGAUAGUGAUACAUGCUCAAAACAUGGCUAUGUGACCAGGCGCAGUGACUCACACCUGUAAUUCCAGCACUUUGGGAGGCCGAGGCAGGCGGAUCACUUGAGGUAAGGAAUUCGAGACCAGCCUGCCCAACAUGGUGAAACCCCAUGUCUACUAAAAAUACAAAACUUAGCCUGGUGGACAUGGUGGCAGGCACCUGUACGCCUAGCUACUUGGAAGGCUGAGGCAGGAGAAUCGCUUGAACCCGGAGGGUGGAAGGUUGCAGUGAUCCCAGAUGCACCACUGCAUUCCAGCCUGGGUGAGAGAGCAAGACUCUGUCUCAACAACAACAACAACAACAAAAAACAUGGCUAUGUGAUAGACUAAAACGGGUAUUGGGUGCUCACUGAAAUGGUGAGAAUGGAGCUAAAACCUGAAAUUAGGUGACAGCAGCAGCUAUAGGGGCUAAGGGUUUCGUGCUUGGAAAACAGCAGAUGCAAACGUGCUUGUGCUGUGAGACAAUUUGGGUGGAACAGAAGGUGUGCCAUAGUCCCUGAGAGCUUGGAGGUGAUUCUAAACACAAUGGGAAGCCAUUAAAUUGAGGCAGAGCCUUGACAUGCUUUAUCAUCA